UACGAAGGGAGCUAGCGUUGUUCGGAAUCACUGGGCGUAAAGCGCACGUAGGCGGAUUUGCCAGUCAGGGGUGAAAUCCCGGGGCUCAACCUCGGAACUGCCUUUGAUACAGCAAGUCUUGAGUUCGAGAGAGGUGGGUGGAAUUCCUGGUGUAGCGGUGAAAUGCGUAGAUAUCGUAAGGAAGGCCGGUGGCGAAAGCGAGCCUCUGGACAGUUACUGACGCUGAUGCACGAAGGCCAGGGGAGCAAACGGG
rnacentral:rRNA from 1 species